UACGGAGGGUGCGAGCGUUGUCCGGAAUCACUGGGCGUCAAGGGCGCGUAGGCGGCCUGAUAAGUAGGGGGUGAAAUCCCACGGCUCAACCGUGGAAGUGCAUCCGAAACUGCGAGGCUCGAGUAUGGAAGAGGGUCGCAGAAUUCCCGGUGUAGAGGUGAAAUUCGUAGAUAUCGGGAGGAAUACCAGUGGCGAAGGCGGCGACCUGGGCCAAUACUGACGCUGAGGUGCGAAAGCGUGGGGAGCAAACAGG
rnacentral:rRNA from 1 species